rnacentral:rRNA from 1 species
CAGUCGCCGCGGUAAUACGGAGGGUGCGAGCGUUAAUCGGAAUUACUGGGCGUAAAGCGUGCGUAGGCGGUUCGUUAAGUCUGUUGUGAAAGCCCCGGGCUCAACCUGGGAAUGGCAAUGGAUACUGGCGAGCUAGAGUGUGUCAGAGGAUGGUGGAAUUCCCGGUGUAGCGGUGAAAUGCGUAGAGAUCGGGAGGAACAUCAGUGGCGAAGGCGGCCAUCUGGGACAACACUGACGCUGAGGCACGAAAGCGUGGGGAGCAAACAGGAUUAGAUACCCGUGUAGUCCCUGUCUCUUAUAC